rnacentral:rRNA from 1 species
UACAGAGGUCUCAAGCGUUGUUCGGAUUCAUUGGGCGUAAAGGGUGCGUAGGUGGCGCGUUAAGUCAGGUGUGAAAUUUCGGAGCUUAACUCCGAAACUGCAUUUGAUAACUGGCGUUGCUUGAGGACUGGAGAGGAGACUGGAAUUCGAUGGUGUAGCAGUGAAAUGCGUAGAGAUCAUGAGGAAGACCAGUGGCGAAGGCGGGUC